rnacentral:rRNA from 1 species
UACGAAGGGGGCUAGCGUUGUUCGGAAUUACUGGGCGUAAAGGGCGCGUAGGCGGUGUGUCAAAUCAGGCGUGAAAGCCCCGGGCUCAACCUGGGAACCGCGCUUGAGACUGGCACGCUAGAGUUCGGGAGAGGAUGGUGGAAUUCCCAGUGUAGAGGUGAAAUUCGUAGAUAUUGGGAAGAACACCGAUGGCGAAGGCAGCCAUCUGGACCGACACUGACGCUGAGGCGCGAAAGCGUGGGGAGCAGACGAGG